AUGGAUCGCAUUGUUCCAUCCAACCUUGACGUCCCCAUGGGGAAUCGCUCAAAGAAACGGAAGGUGGCACAUGGAACCACGGCUGUGGUCUCCAAAGGAAAGAAGGCCCGCCUUGAGGUUGGUAAUUUCUCAGUGAAAUAUGUACUUGUUUUUUGGUUGAAACACAGGAACAACUAUUUUCUGAUUUCGCCUUUAACACAAGAGAUAGCCCAACAUUCUCUGUGUAGGUAUUGUUUUGCCAAUGAUUUACAAUUAUUUUCCAGGCACUUCAAACUCCAGCAAGGAUUGCCAAACCUUCGAAGCUGGUACCUCCCCCUCGACCUGUUCCAGAAGCUGCUGUACCAGCUACUCUGGAGGGCGUACCUCCUCCUCGACCUGUUCCAGAAGCUGCUGUGCCAGCCACUCUGGAGGGCAGCGUCUUUGUGCAUUCGAGCAAGGUAAUUUGCAUACAACAUGUAAUGAUUAAACACAUUCAGUGAAUAGAGUGCGGUUCUCUAUUCUUUUGAUAUUUUCUCUAAGUUCCCUUUAAGAAAGUGUAAUUUUGGGUUUCCAUUUCUCAAUUGUAAUGUACAUAUAAUUCUUACUAUGUCUUUGCAGUUUGCUCAACCGGAGGGGGAUGACAAGACUCUGUGUGUUGAUGAGUGGCCGUUUCUUCAAACAGAGUUUUUUGAGGUAAAGGUUUGGGGGAAAAAGAGAGCAUCUUGUAAUCAUUUAAUAUUUGGGUUUUGUUGUUAAAUUUGUAUGUAGCCCCACAAAAUACAGGCGUGCACAACACUAUGUUUGUUACUGUUUUAAAUAAACUACAUUAGCAGUAAGUUCUUUGAACUGCCCACUUUUCAAUUUUCAUACAAUUGUAUCUCAUGAUAAUUUUGCUCCCUUACCUCAUUGUAGAAGGUGAACCAGCCAACUGCUCGGGUUGUCUCUGGACAGAGAAAACAAGAGGAGCCAACACCUUGGGGACCAAAAGUUGUGAUGGCCCAGGCUGAUAAACCAACAGCCAAUGAGACCAGCUUCUUGGGAUGUUCAACCAAGGUAAUGACAACAAUAUAAAAAAUGAUUUGCAAAUAAGCAAUCAAUCUG
rnacentral:lncRNA from 1 species